CUGACCCAGGAGACAGCUCUGCCUCGGAUCUCCUAGAGCUGAAGCGGCUUCAAGCAACCCUGUGACGUACGGGCCCUAUUCCUCCUGAAGGAAGAAAGAACUGAAGCUUAAGGCUUGCAGAGGUUGCUGUAAAUGUGAGAGGGGAGGCAUCUGGAAUUGCUCACAGCAAUGAAGUAUCUACUAUUUCCAUUUUCUUCCAACUUGACAGAUGGGCUGUUGAGUCUAGGUUGGGCUCAGUCACCAGCACAGACACACAUGUA